rnacentral:misc_RNA from 1 species
AGACAGGGGGCGCUCGAGUCCUCCGAGUCAGCUGUCGUCACUAGCCGCGGUGACCGCACUGAACGCUCCACGCGCCAGUUGAGCCCCGCUCGAUCUCACGUACACAUGUGAUUAUACUCUUCACGAGUAAAACUUUCUUACGUCAAAUCGAUGGAUAUAACCUAACACGCCGCGAGUUUAACAACUAUUAAAGUAAAAUGUGAAUAUCAUUUUAAAACAAAAUGGCCCAGUAUUAGUGUUGUGUUUCUGUUACGUGAUCGCUUGUGAUGUCAAUGAUGUGAAUUUGUGUGCAGUGCUGUUUAAAAAAAGGAGUUAUGAGUAUCCAAAAGUGCCUUCUGGACAACUCGAGCAGGAUGAUCAAGGCGAUGUCGAACGCUAAAUCGUCUAACAGAGAAGUUAAAACGAUCAUAUUAUUCCAGUGUUCCCGUAUGAAAAAAAUCAUGUAGAAAAUCGCGAUCGGCGAUUCAAACAG